rnacentral:rRNA from 1 species
CGUCAAAUCAUCAUGCCCCUUAUGUCCUGGGCUACACACGUACUACAAUGGCCGUCAACAACGGGCAGCGAAACCGCGAGGUGGAGCAAAUCCCCAAACACGGCCUCAGUUCAGAUUGUAGGCUGAAACUCGCCUGCAUGAAGUAGGAAUUGCUAGUAAUCGCGAAUCAGCAUGUCGCGGUGAAUACGUUCCCGGGUCUU